GUUCCGGCCUGCGCCCUGCUACCGCGGUGGGAGGAAAAAGGUUCCGGCCUCAGCCGGCGCACCUGGCGGAAGAGGAACCUCGCGAAGCGCUGUCGGGCACCGGUUUCUCCCAGCAAAGCUUGGAGGGUUUAGCUGCGGAGAGAGCUCAGCGAGCUCUCCUGUGCCUGUUUGGGGCGUGUGGGCUCCGGGAGCGUGAGGACCGGGAAGCUGGGAGGCUCCUUCCCUUCUGGUGGCUCCCUCACUGAGACCGGGCGGUUUGGUUGCGGGGGACGUGGAGGCGAGCCACCCUUGACCUUUGCAAGGACUCACCUUGAGCAGGAUAGAGGCACGUGGACGGUGACCCUCGGGGUGCAAUAAAUGCUGAGACAGAGCAGGUGUGCAAGGCACAGAGCUAGAGGCCAGAGGCUUUUCUUCUCCAACCUUCAGUCACCUCUUUGUAAAGUGAAGCCAGCAUCCUCCUCGGAGUUUACUGUGAAAAUUAAGUGAGCUGACGCGUGCUGUGUUUUGAUGUUGCUUGGCUCCUACAAACAUUCAGUGGGCCAGACACUGUUCUGAAAAAUACACAGUCGACUCUUGAACAACACAGGCUUGAACUGCAUGCGGCCACUAAUACUCAGACUUUCUUCUGCCUUUGCCACCCCUAAGACAGCAAGACCAACCCCUCCUGCUCCUCAGCCUACUCGAUGUGAUGAUGAGACACACAGAGUGGAAGGCCAUGUGAAGACAGAGGCAGAUACUGGAGAGAUACAGCCACAGGCCCAUGAAUGCUGAUGGCCACCAGAAACCGGAGGAAGCAAGGAAGAAUUCUCCUCUAGAGUCUCUGAAGGGAGCGUGGCCCUGCCAACAUCUUGAUUUUGGACUUUUGUCCUCCAGGACUAUAAGAAACAGAUUUCUGUUAAAUCACAAAGCUUGUGGUCAUUUGUUACUGCAACCAUAGGAAAUUAACGUGUGCCCUAACUCUUUUCCCUGCCCAUCCGUCCUCCAUUACCUAUUCUCUACUUCCUGGGUGUGGCCCUCAGCCCCUGUUUGGGUUCUCAGCCCUGCAGGUAAGCCACCUUCAGUUUCACUGGGUCUGUACCUUUCUUGUGGUUGAUAAGUCCUGCAGCUGCCUAGCCUGGUGCUCUUCUUUCCUUCCCCAUCUCUUCUUUGAUCUCCGCUUGGAGAGUCACAACUGACCAGGCGCCCUGUCCCACAAGGAAAACUAGAGGCCAGAAUGACCUGGAUCUAGCCAAAAAGCACACCAAAAUGGGCUCUUUUCAUCAAAUGUGCAGCAGAAAGCGUGUCCAUGCAACAAAUAUUUCACUCUCCCUGUGUGACUCAGAGAAGGUAGACAUACCCAACUCUUGUUUCCAACUUCUCUAUUUAGGAGCUAUUUGAAUGCAAAAGAUAGGGGAGAGCUUGUGUGACAGUUCUGGCAGUGGCUGUGGCAUCUGGAGUGUCUGCACCCAAAGAGUUGCCCUUCUCAGUCUAGAAAGACCAUUCAGCCAGGCGCAGUGGCUCACGCCUGUAAUCCCAGCACUUUGGGAGGCCAAGGCGGGUGGAUCACCAGAGGUCAGGCAUUCAAGACCAGUCUGGCCAACAUCGUGAGACCCCGUCUCUACUAAAAAUACAAAAAUUAGCAGGUGGGCAUGGUGAUGCACGCCUGUAGUCCCAGCUACUUAGGAGGCUGAGGCAUGUCACUUGAACCUGGGAAGCAGAGGUUGCAGUUGAGCCGAGAUCAUGCUACUGCACUCCACCCUGGGUGACAAGCAAGACUCUGUCUCAAAAAUGAAUAAAAGAAGCCCAUUCUAUUAUGAGCAGCUCAAGUAAGUGCAGAGAGAGGAAGGGGACAGUUGCCCACAUAGCCAAGUCAGUCCCAGGGAUAGUGAACAAGUUGCCUCCAGAACUUCAAGAUUAGGAGCCACUGGAUAAUGAGAGUCAGCACAGGGACAAAACAGGUGCCAAGAUGUCAAGGAUUCUUCUUUUAUCAUCCUGAGUCCAUGUGACUAAAUUUCAAGAGGUCAGGUUAGAAAGAGCAAAGUUGAUGGGGCAUUACCUGUGGUUUGAACUUCUGCCUGUCAUAUUUCAGGCAAUCACCAUGAGGAGCUUGACUUAGGAAAUUAAGGAAGACAUGUCCUUUUGUUGAUUUUCACAUGGGAAGACAAAGGUGUGUGUGUGUGUGUGUGUGUGUGUGGUGAGACACAAGGGUUAAAAACUAACUGGUUCUCAGUUUGUGGUGUUGCCUGCCAUCAGCAAUGGCCUUGGGGAUGACCCCCACUCCUCCCUUCUAGCCCCCAAGAAGACUACAGUUGUCUCUUGCUCCAAGUUAGUCUUCAGGAAUACAAAGCCCAGCAAGUGCAGGGGGGCUCAGUGUGACGUGCACACAGUGUGGCACAGCCCAAGAGUCUGGCUUUGGAGGCAGCGAUCUCUCAGAACUAAGACCGCCCUGAAUUAAGACCACCCUGUCAGCAUCCCUUUACUCUGACCAUGCAGGAUGGUCUUUGGGCUCCACAAAUAUCCUUGAAGCCAAGAGUCACAAUUUGGGUGGGAAUCGCAAGCCCAGCCAACAGGCAAAGAUGGAGGCCAGAGGGCAGCUGAGCAUCCAUUGUCACUGGUGUCCACUCCCAGAGCUACUCAGAGGUGGGCACUAGCGAACAAAAGCCGUUAGAAGAGAGAAGGGGACAUCACUGCCCUGGUAACCCCCAUCCUGUCUUUGGCCUGUAGGCCUCUGCACACUGUAAGCCUAGACCAGCCUCAACUAUGUCACACAUUGACUUUUUUCCUCUCUGGACAAUGGUAGCCUGGAGUAUUGUAAUACCCAUGGAAUUUUUAUAGGAUACCUAAGGUAUAUUUAUCAGAUCUCUGAGUUCUUUCCAGUUAAAACAGAAGUCCAGGAAGCAGUUAACAGAGGAUGACCAAUAGGAAACAAAAACACAACACCACUACAACCUGAGAUUCAGAAAUGGAAAGACUUGGGUUUGAAUUCAACUGCCCUACUCACUAGCUGUGUGACUCUGGGCAAGUUACUUCACCUCUCUGAGCCUCUGUCUAAAAAAUGCAGACAAACCCUAUUAACCGCUCCUGAUUUCUGUGAGUAGGGAUUUCCUUUUCACACCUCUCCAUGGAAGCAGCCUUAGUCAUCUGGUUUUGGGGCAACAUUGGCCAGUCUGCAUUUUUCAGUUGGUUGAAGCAGUCUACCAGCUGGGGACGUUUGCUGUUUUGCCUUCAUCCUUUAACCUGAGCCAGUGGGAGGCAGUGACCUGGCUGAGGACUGUCUUCUGCAGACUCAUACAUUACCUCAGAGGGAAGCUAAAAACCAGAACACUGCCAGAACUCUCUCUUUCUGCCUCUCUCUUCCUCAUCGUCAUUAUCAUCUCCUCAAGUCAGUUUUCUCUGCUUCUCUGUUCCUACGGCUGAACACGAGCCCCACUCAACUCCUACAUUUAUUAAUAUAUGAGAUACCCGUUGAUAUGGUUUGGCUGUGUCCUCAUUCAGAUCUCAACUUGAAUUGUAUCUCCCAGAAUUCCCACAUGUUAUGGGAGGGACCUAGGAGGAGGUAAUUGAAUCAUGGGGGCUGGUCUUUCCCGUGCUAUUCUCAUGAUAGUGAAUAAGUCUCAUGAGAUCUGAUGGGUUUAUUAGGGGUUUCCACUUUUGCUUCUUCCUCAUUUUCUCUUGCUGCUGCCAUGUAAGAAGUCCUUUUCACCUCCCGCCAUGAUUCUGAGGCCUCCCCAGCCAUGUGGAACUGUAAGUCCAAUUAAACCUCUUUUUCUUCCCAGUCUUGGGUAUGUCUUUAUCAGCAGCGUGAAGACAGACUAAUACAGUAAAUUGGGAUCAAUAGAGUGGGGCAUUACUGAAAAGAUACCUGAAAAUUUGGAAGCAACUUUGGAACUGGGUAACAGGCAGAGACUGGAACAGUUUAAAGGUCUCAGAAGAAGACAGGAAAGUGUGGGAAAGUUUGGAACUCCCUAGAGAUUUGUUGAAUGGCUUUGCCCAAAAUGCUGAUAGUGAUAUGGACAAUAAAAUCCAGGCUGAGGUGGUCUCAGAUGGAGAUGAGAAACUCACUGGGAAUUUAAGCAAAGUUGAUUCUUGCUAUGUCUUAGCAAAGAGACUGGUGGCAUUUUGCCACUGCCCUGGAGAUUUGUGGAACUUUGGACUUGAGAGAGAUGAUUUAGGGUAUCUGGUGGAAGAAAUUUCUAAGCAGCAAAGCAUUCAAGAUGUGACUUAGGUGCUGUUAAAGGCAUUCAGUUUUAUAAGAAAAGCAGAGCAUAAAACUUUAGAAAAUUUGCAGCCUGACUAUGUGAUAGAAAAGAAAACCCAUUUUCUGGGGAGAAAUUCAAGCUGGCUGCAGAAAUUUGCAUAAGUAGUGAGAAGCCCAAUGUUAAUCCCCAAGAUCAUGUGGAAAAUGUCUCCAGGCCAUGUCAGAGACCUUCAUGGCAGCCCCUCCCAUCACAGGCCUGGAGGCCAAGAAGAAAAAGUGGUUUUGUGGGCUGGGCCCAGGAUCCCCAUGCUUUGUGCAGCUUAAGGGCUUGGUAGCCUGCACCCCAGCCUCUGAGCCGUGGCUGAAAGGGACCAACAUAUAGCUCAGGCUGUGGCUUCAGAGGGUCGAAGCCUCAAGCCUUGGCAGCUUCCACGUGGUGUUGAGCCUGUGGGUGCACAGAAGUCAAGAAGUGAGGUUUGGGAACCUCCACCUAGAUUUCAGAAGAUGUAUGGAAAUGCCUGAAUGCCCAGGCAAAAGUUUUCUGUAGGAUGGCAGCCCUCAUGGAGAACCUCUGCUAUGGCAGUGCAGAAGGGAAAUGUGGGGUUGGAGUCCCCACACAGAGUCCCUAUUGGGGCACUGCCUCGUGGAGCUGUGAGAAUAGGGCCACCAUUCUCCAGCCCCCAGAAUGAUUGAUCCACCGACAGCUUGCACCAGGCACCUGGAAAAGCCACAGACACUCAAUGCCAGCCCGUGAAAGCAGCUGCAAAGCCACAGGGGCAGAGCUGCCUAAGACUGUGGGAACCCACCUCUUGCAUUGGUGUGACUUCGAUAUGAGACCUGGAGUCAAAGGACAUCAUUUUAGAGCUUUAAAAUUUGACUGUCCGCUGGAUUUCGGACUUGCAUGGGCCCUGUAACCCCUUUGUUUUGGCCAAUUUCUCCCAUUUGGAAUGGCUGUAUUUACCCAAUACUUGUAUCCCCAUUGUAUUCAGGAAGUAAGUAGCUUGUUUUUGAUUUUACAGGCUCAUAGGUGGAAGGGACUUGCCUUGUCUUAGAUGAGACUUUGGACUGUGGACUUUUGUGUUAAUGCUGAAAUGUGUUAAGGCUUUGAGGAACUGUUGGGAAGGCAUGAUUGGUUUUGAAAUUUGAGAACAUGAGAUUUGGAGGGGCCAGGGGCAGAAUGAUAUGGUUUGGCUAUGUCCCCAUUCAAAUCUCAACUUGUAUCUCCCAAAAUUCCCACAUGUUGUGUGAGGGACCUAAGAGGAGGUGAUUGAAUCAUGGGGGCUGGUCUUUCCUACACUAUUCUCAUGAUAGUGAAUAAGUCUCACGAGAUCUGAUGGGUUUAUCAGGGGUUUCCACUUUUGCUUCUUCCUCGUUUUCUCUUGCUGCCACCAUGUAAGAAGUGCCUUUCGCCUCCCGCCAUGAUUCUGAGGCCUCCCCAACCAUGUGGAACUGUAAGUCCAAUUAAACCUCUUUCUCUUCCUAGUCUCGGGUAUUUCUUUAUCAGCAGUGUGAAAAUGCACUAAAUACACCCCCAGUCACAGAAAGGGUCUAACUUGAUGUAUCAAUCC